rnacentral:rRNA from 1 species
AGUGAACGCUGGCGGCAGGCCUAACACAUGCAAGUCGAACGGCAGCACAGGAGAGCUUGCUCUCUGGGUGGCGAGUGGCGGACGGGUGAGGAAUACAUCGGAAUCUACCUUGUCGUGGGGGAUAACGUAGGGAAACUUACGCUAAUACCGCAUACGACCUUCGGGUGAAAGCAGGGGACCUUCGGGCCUUGCGCGAUUAGAUGAGCCGAUGUCGGAUUAGCUAGUUGGCGGGGUAAAGGCCCACCAAGGCGACGAUCCGUAACUGGUCUGAGAGGAGGAUCAGCCACACUGGAACGGAGACACGGUCCAGAGUCCUACGGGAGGCAGCAGUGGGGAAUAUUGGACAAUGGGCGCAAGCCUGAUCCAGCCAUGCCGCGUGGGUGAAGAAGGCCUUCGGGUUGUAAAGCCCUUUUGUUGGGAAAGAAAAGCAGUCGGCCAAUACCCGAUUGUUCUGACGGUACCCAAAGAAUAAGCACCGGCUAACUUCGUGCCAGCAGCCGCGGUAAAAC